rnacentral:rRNA from 1 species
UACGUAGGCAGCGAGCGUUGUUCGGAGUUACUGGGCGUAAAGGGUGCGUAGGCGGUUGUUUAAGUUUGGUGUGAAAUCUCCCGGCUCAACCGGGAGGGUGCGCCGAAAACUGGGAGACUAGAGUGCGGGAUGGGAGAGUAGAAUUCCUGGUGUAGCGGUGAAAUGCGCAGAUAUCAGGAGGAACACCGAUGGCGAAGGCAGAUCUCUGGGCCGUAACUGACGCUGAGGAGCGAAAGCGUGGGGGAGCGAACAGG